rnacentral:misc_RNA from 1 species
UCUUGACAAAGAAAUGAGAAGAUACAGGCUUCAUAAACAUAGUUGUACAAUUUAGAAGGUGCAAGGAAUCAGCUGCAAAGUCGACUUGAUCUUUCCUGGCUUCACUUCAUCACAGUACGCUGAUGUAAUUGCUUCAGAAACAUAAUUGUACAAUUUAGUAGGCGCAAGGAAUCAGCUGCAAACUCGACUUGAUCUUUCCUGGCUUCACUUCAUCACAGUACGCUGAUGUAAUUGCUUCAGAAACAUAAUUGUACAAUUUAGUAGGCGCAAGGAAUCAGCUGCAAAC